rnacentral:rRNA from 1 species
GAUGAACGCUGGCGGCGUGCCUAAUACAUGCAAGUCGAGCGAACGGACGAGGAGCUUGCUUCUCUGAUGUUAGCGGCGGACGGGUGAGUAACACGUGGAUAACCUACCUAUAAGACUGGGAUAACUUCGGGAAACCGGAGCUAAUACCGGAUAAUAUUUUGAACCGCAUGGUUCAAAAGUGAAAGACGGUUUUGCUGUCACUUAUAGAUGGAUCCGCGCUGCAUUAGCUAGUUGGUAAGGUAACGGCUUACCAAGGCAACGAUGCAUAGCCGACCUGAGAGGGUUAUCGGCCACAACGGAACUGAGACACGGUCCAGACUCCUACGGGAGGCAGCAGUUGGGAAUCUUCCGCCAUGGGGGGAAGCCUGACGGAGCAACGCCGGGUGAGGUAUGAAGGUCUUCGGAUCGUAAAACUCUGUUAUUAGGGAAGAACAUAUGUGUAAGUAACCGUUCACAUCUUGACGGUACCUAAUCAGAAAGCCACGGCUAACUACGGG